AGCUUUACACAGUGUCAGUAUUGUAGCCAGUGAGGUUCACCUGAGGCACCAUUAUUACUAAUUGAAAAUAAUGUUCAUAAUAACAC
rnacentral:snRNA from 1 species